AGCGAACGUUAGCGGCGGGCCUAACACAUGCAAGUCGAGCGAGAAAGUGGCUUCGGCCAUCAGUAAAGCGGCGGACGGGUGAGUAACACGUAGGUAAUCUUCCCUUGAGCGGGGGACAACGUUUCGAAAGGAACGCUAAUACCGCAUAAGUUUCCAGGGACUCUGGUUCUUGGAAGGAAAGCUAGGUCGCAAGAUCCGGCACUCGAGGAGGAGCCUGCGUCGCAUCAGCUAGUUGGGGGGUAAUGGCCUACCAAGGCGAAGACGCGUAGCUGGUCUGAGAGGAUGAUCAGCCACACUGGGACUGAGACACGGCCCAGACUCCUACGGGAGGCAGCAGUGGGGAAUAUUGGACAAUGGGCGCAAGCCUGAUCCAGCCCACGCCGCGUGAGUGAUGAAGGCCUCGGUC
rnacentral:rRNA from 1 species